AAUUAAUGCUAAUGGCAUUGGGUUGUAAAUAAGUCCAACUCUAUGAUUUAUUUGCUAAAAUGGCUCCAAAAAUGUAUAUGUAGAUGCGAAAACAAAAACUUAAAGGGUGAGAAAAAUUUGAAUAUGAUAUCUACUAAAUCCUUUAUUUUUAUAAAUUUUCUUACGAAAAGUAUGUAUUUUUCUAAUCAAUAUGUUAGUUCACACAUAUCUUAAUU
rnacentral:sRNA from 1 species